UACGGGGGGGGCAAGCGUUGUUCGGAAUUACUGGGCGUAAAGGGCGCGUAGGUGGCCAACUAAGUCAGACGUGAAAUCCCUCGGCUUAACCGGGGAACUGCGUCUGAUACUGGAUGGCUUGAGUUUGGGAGAGGGAUGCGGAAUUCCAGGUGUAGCGGUGAAAUGCGUAGAUAUCUGGAGGAACACCGGUGGCGAAGGCGGCAUCCUGGACCAAUACUGACGCUGAGUGAGCGAAAGCCAGGGGAGCAAACGGG
rnacentral:rRNA from 1 species